rnacentral:rRNA from 1 species
ACUCAAAUGAAUAGACGGGGCCCCGCACAAGCGGCGGAGCAUGCGGAUUAAUUCGAUGCAACGCGAAGAACCUUACCUGGGUUUGACAUAUACCGGAAACGUCUAGAGAUAGGCGCCCCCUUGUGGUCGGUAUACAGGUGGUGCAUGGCUGUCGUCAGCUCGUGUCGUGAGAUGUUGGGUUAAGUCCCGCAACGAGCGCAACCCUCGUCCUAUGUUGCCAGCGGAUUAUGCCGGGGACUUAUAGGAGACUGCCGGGGUCAACUCGGAGGAAGGUGGGGAUGACGUCAAGUCAUCAUGCCCCUUAUGUCCAGGGCUUCACGCAUGCUACAAUGGCCGGUACAGAGGGCUGCAAUCCUGCAAAGGUGAGCGAAUCCCAAAAAGCCGGUCUCAGUUCGGAUUGGGGUCUGCAACUCGACCCCAUGAAGUCGGAGUCGCUAGUAAUCGCAGAUCAGCAACGCUGCGGUGAAUACGUUCCCGGGGCUUGUACACACCGCCCGU